ACAAUCAUAUCACAUUGAAUCACUGGUUCUCAUAUGAUCACUGAAGUUAAGCAAUGUCAACCCUGGUCAGUACCUAGAUGGGUGACCACUUUGGGAAACCAGGGGCUGUAAG